GACAGAGGCCACAAGCGUUAGGCGGAAUCACUGGGCUUAAAGCGUGUGUAGGCGGACCGUUAAGUGCUUUGUGAAAUCCCACGGCUCAACCGUGGAACGGCUUGGCAUACUGGCGGUCUUGAGCCACCUAGGGGCAGCUGGAACAAGCGGUGGAGCGGUGAAAUGCGUAGAUAUCGCUUGGAACGCCUGCGGUGAAGACGGGCUGCUGGGGGUGAGCUGACGCUGAGACACGAAAGCCAGGGGAGCAAACGGG
rnacentral:rRNA from 1 species